CGUGCCUACGGGAGGCAGCGGUGAGGAAUAUUGGUCAAUGGGCGGAAGCCUGAACCAGCCAAGUCGCGUGAGGGAAUAAGGCCCUACGGGUCGUAAACCUCUUCUGCCGGGGAGCAAGGGCGGGGACGUGUCCCGGCCCGGAGAGUACCCGGAGAAAAAGCAUCGGCUAACUCCGUGCCAGCAGCCGCGGUAAUACGGAGGAUGCGAGCGUUAUCCGGAUUUAUUGGGUUUAAAGGGUGCGUAGGCGGGCUUUUAAGUCAGCGGUAAAAAUUCGGGGCUCAACCCCGGCCGGCCGUUGAAACUGG
rnacentral:rRNA from 1 species